UACGUAGGGUGCAAGCGUUGUCCGGAAUUAUUGGGCGUAAAGAGCUCGUAGGCGGUCUGUUGCGUCGGCUGUGAAAACCCGGGGCUCAACUCCGGGCCUGCAGCCGAUACGGGCAGACUAGAGUACUGCAGGGGAGACUGGAAUUCCUGGUGUAGCGGUGAAAUGCGCAGAUAUCAGGAGGAACACCGGUGGCGAAGGCGGGUCUCUGGGCAGUAACUGACGCUGAGGAGCGAAAGCGUGGGGAGCGAACAGG
rnacentral:rRNA from 1 species